CCUACGGUGGGCAGCAGUGAGGAAUAUUGGUCAAUGGCCGGAAGGCUGAACCAGCCAAGCCGCGUGAAGGACGAAGGUGCCACGCAUUGUAAACUUCUUUUGUCAAGGGACAAAAUCAGGCUCGAGAGCCUGACCGCGGGUCCUUUAAGAACAAGCAUCGGCUAACUCCGUGCCAGCAGCCGCGGUAAUACGGAGGAUGCGCGCGUUCUCCGGAUUUAUUGGGUUUAAAGGGUGCGUAGGCGGGCUGUUAAGUCAGCGGUAACAGCCCGGGGCGCAACCCCGGCGAGCCGUGGAAACUGGCGGGCGGGAGAUGGCGAGAGGUAGGGGGAAUGGGCAGGGGAGCGGUGAAAGGCGUAGA
rnacentral:rRNA from 1 species